CUGUCGCGCGGUGGAUCAGACUAGUGUCUGGUUGAGCGAGAAAGAAAACUAUUGGGUCUAGGUCUCGGUCUCGGUCGAUCCCCCAUUCCCCUCCCCAACCCGAAUUGAUCCCCUCCCCGAAUCCACCGAGCGGGCUAGGGUUCCUCGCCGCCCGUCCUCUCCUCCAUCCGACGAGCCCCGCCCGUCCUAUCCUCCCUCCGAUGAGCGACGACCAGCGAGCGCGGACACGACGCGCCCUACCGUCCUCCGCCCGGCCUCCUCCAACCCAGGUCAGGUCGUCACACUCGUCGCUGCCACCAGCAAGACGAAGGGCCCAACUCGGGUGGGGACCUCGCAACCAACGAUCCCGACCGUGCAACAAGGAAAGGUUCAAGUGAAAAAAGAGGAAGAAAGGAGAAUCAGGGUAGGGUUUCAUGGCUAGAAGAUAUAUUGCUGGGUUUUGUCUCCGACCAUCGUGUCGUGAUGAUAUUGGGGUGGUUUUGUCUAAUACCAUCGUGUCAUGAUGA